ensembl:lncRNA
GAGACACCGGAGAUGCAAGUUUGAUCCCUGAGACAAGAAGAUCCCCUGGAGGAGGAAAUGGCAACCCAGUGCAGUCUUCUUGCCUGAAGAAUCCUAUGGACAGAGAAGCCUGGUGGGCUACAGUCUGUGGGGUCGUAAAGACUGGCUACGACUCGGCACACAAGCACACAAUAGUGCAGAAAGCAUCCUAAUCCAACGUGACUGAUGUACUUAAGCAGCAAGGACCUCUGGAGGAGACAGACUCACAUGCAGAGAGAGCGCCAUGUAAAGACAAAGACAGAGAUGACUGCUGCGCCUACAAGCCGAGGAGCACCAAAGACUGCUGGCAAGCAGAAGCUAGAAAGGGUAGACUCUUCCGCACAACCCCUCAGAAGGAACUAACCCUGCUGUCACCUUGAUCGUGGACUUGUAGCUUCCAGCUGGUUUCCUUCUGCAUCUUCCUCCACGAGGUUAGCUCACCUGCACUGUUGUGUGUGUUCAGUCG